rnacentral:misc_RNA from 1 species
GUAGGUGAACCUGCGGAAGGAUCAUUAGAGAGACUUUGCCCUUUGGGUAUAUCUCCCACCCUGAUUAUUUUACCUGGUUGCUUUGGCGAAUAGACGCUAUAUGCUGAAGCUCGCCAGAGUGUACAUACUCUUGUUUCAUGUAGUCUGAGAAAAAACAAAAUAUUUAAAACUUUCAACAACGGAUCUCUUGGUUCUG